UCAGACAUGGUGUAAUGGUACCAUGGCCUCUCAGUCUGCAUCUGAAAGGCUGUCGUGAGACAGUCCUGGGUUCGAAUCCCAGUGUCUGAA